GUUAUUAAUUGGGGAACCUUUGUUUAAUUGCGUUGACAGCCAAAAAUCUAGUCUGAGGGGUUGUGCUGGUGCCGAGUUAUAGAGGGAAGCAUCCGUAGUUCGUAAGGUAAUCCCUAAAUAUAGGUGGGUCGGUGCAGCGAAGGACUCAGUGGUGGCCGCACGACUCCUUUUACAUUGUUUAUUGCCUAUUCAUGAUUUUACUUUUAUUUGGGAGUAUUUUGCUGUAAUUAUGGCCUUUACUUACUUUAGUUUAAAUUUGGAUUUAUACGGUUUUAUGAUUUAAAUCUGCUAGUGUUAGGUAAAACUCGGGUUUUCAAAUGAAAUUGAUGUUUUAUCAAAAUACCACGAACACGCAAACUGUUUAAAAGCUACCGCAAUGAAAAAUGUUUUGAAAAUUGAA